CAGCGCCUCCCGACCGUGCUAACUCCAUCCAACAUCUCCAGCGGCACCACGCUGCAUAAAAAAUCAGGCAGGUUCAUCUGCCACGUCUUCCACGGGCCCCAAGCCAUAUCACAGAGCUGCCCCAGGUCAGCAACAAUGACAAAGACGAUGAACAACUCUUCACGGGACAAGAGAAGAAAAAAAACGGGGGAAGGGUAACAAUAUCCCUUUGUUUUUU
rnacentral:lncRNA from 1 species